rnacentral:rRNA from 1 species
UACGUAGGGUGCAAGCGUUAAUCGGAAUUACUGGGCGUAAAGCGUGCGCAGGCGGUUUUGUAAGACUGUCGUGAAAUCCCCGGGCUUAACCUGGGAAUUGCGAUGGUGACUGCAAGGCUAGAGUUUGGCAGAGGGGGGUAGAAUUCCACGUGUAGCAGUGAAAUGCGUAGAGAUGUGGAGGAACACCGAUGGCGAAGGCAGCCCCCUGGGUCAAAACUGACGCUCAUGCACGAAAGCGUGGGGAGCAAACAGG